ACAUAACAUAACGGGAGCUUGUGGAAUCAGGCUGAGAGUGCGGCUAACUGCUGCAGACCGGAUGAACCUGUUGGAUAAUGCCAGCGCAGGGAAAUUAUAGGGAUACCUG
rnacentral:ncRNA from 1 species